AUUUCUCUCAAUGAACACUGCCGGUUAUCUCUCAAAAUGUUAUUUUGUGUUACAUUAGCAAUUAUAUCAGCUGUGUCAUCAGCUGCAGAUCUAACAAAUGUAGAUGAUUGUCCAACUAGGGGUGUUAUGGUCUGUUGAAAAGAUUUCAAAGCUUAUGAGCUCGUUUUCUUGGAUUAUAACGUACGGCUUGAAGAAAGUGAAAAAGUCCUGGAAAGAAAAUGCAAGAAUACGAUGUCAGUUAUGAAAUGUGCAAUAGACUUUGCAAAAACAUGUUCAAACUAUUUGGAAAACCCCUAUUAUUUGGCUCUUUAAGAUCUCUACUCCACUUUGAAUAACAUUUGUGACAAGAAUAAUGCCAUUAGACGAUCGUACAUAGAAAAUGCCAAGUGUCUAAAUAAACAAAACUCGCAGCUGGAUGAGAAAUGCGGUGAACGGCCACAGUAUAAUGAAUAUGGAAAUUCGACUAAGGAGAUAUGUUCAACUCUAAAAAAAGGUUAAAAUGUUAUUAUGAAGACAUUGAAGAGAAAUGCGGAACAGAAGCUGUACUGGUAACAAAGGAAAGAAUAUCACCCAUUACCAAGCUCUGGGACAGAGAAUGCAGUGAACUGUAGUUCUAACAUAUACAACUGUUAUAAAAUAUAUAUGCUGAAUCGCUUGAACGCGAAAUUGCUUUAAAUAAGUAAAUGUAUUAAUUUGGCUUUCAUACUUUUAAGCUUACUAUUAUUAUUCUUUGAUUAAUAAAAUUUGUUUUAUCCUUCA